AGAUGCCUGCCUCAUCAAUGAUGGAGAUGAUGUUACAGAGGACAGGAGCCAUGUUUACUCCUUCACCUCCAGGACUCAGAGUUGAAGCAACCUUUAACUGAUGAUCAAAUGUUCUCUGUGUAAAAACUGAAAACAUCCUUUCUUCAGGAGCAGUGAUUCUGUGUUGGACAGGAAACCUUGUUGAACAGUGGCCUACAGCACAAAGACGUUUUCCAUCGAGGUCGAGGAGAGGUGAAUAGCAGAGGAGUUUUGAAGUAUUCAACCACUGCCCUGAGUUUGUCGAACGCAAGUGAGGCUGGAGGCUGAUCACACUUGUGAAGAAGGU